rnacentral:rRNA from 1 species
GGAUGCUCCAGUUGAUCGCAUGGUCUUCUGGGAAAGCUUUCGCGGUAUGGGAUGGGGUCGCGUCCUAUCAGCUUGACGGCGGGGUAACGGCCCACCGUGGCUUCGACGGGUAGCCGGCCUGAGAGGGCGACCGGCCACAUUGGGACUGAGAUACGGCCCAGACUCCUACGGGAGGCAGCAGUGGGGAAUAUUGCACAAUGGGCGCAAGCCUGAUGCAGCGACGCCGCGUGAGGGAUGGAGGCCUUCGGGUUGUAAACCUCUUUUAUCGGGGAGCAAGCGAGAGUGAGUUUACCCGUUGAAUAAGCACCGGCUAACUACGUGCCAGCAGCCGCGGUAAUACGUAGGGUGCAAGCGUUAUCCGGAAUUAUUGGGCGUAAAGGGCUCGUAGGCGGUUCGUCGCGUCCGGUGUGAAAGUCCAUCGCUUAACGGUGGAUCCGCGCCGGGUACGGGCGGGCUUGAGUGCGGUAGGGGAGACUGGAAUUCCCGGUGUAACGGUGGAAUGUGUAGAUAUCGAAAAGAAAACACCACCC